rnacentral:rRNA from 2 species
UCAGACGUGACUACCCGCUGAACUUAAGCAUAU